rnacentral:tRNA from 1 species
CCCCCAGUGGCGCAAAUUGCGAGCGCGCAGUACUUAUAAUGCCGAGGUUGUGAGUUCGAUCCUCACCUGGGGAA